CACAGCUGAGGCUACUGGCUGCUGGCCUUGACCUGGUCGGCUAGCUGGACCCCUUGGCCACUGCUUGGGCUACUGAUGGUCUGCUGGGUACCCUUCUUGGUACCUUGGCCUGUUUGCAGCCUGGGUCUAGGUCAGAGAGAGGCCGUUUCUAAUCCAUUAUCUCACCCCAGAUGUUCACAUUUCCUUCUAAAGUAUCAUGGAGGAGUGGCCAUGGGAAGACCCAGCUAUGGAAGCAGUUGUGAGAUACCUGGCCAUGAUUUGGGGAUACAACAUGGCCUCAAAUCCUAAGAGAUUAUGUGGUUUCUUUCACAGCCAGGAGCCAGAGGCGCCACACAUCAAAAGGUGGUUUUGAAGGGGCUGCCCCCAUCACUCCUAAUGACCUCCAGUGACAUUUUGUGUGUCCACCCUGCAACUUUGGGUUUCCCUGGUUUUGAAGUCCUGGUUCUCAUGGAAUUCACAGAAGAAGAAAUGCACAUGGUCACAGCUGCUCCUUGGCAUGACUGUGCCUCAACCCCAGACUUCCUGUCUAUCAUGGCAGAAGGAGAAUUCCUUGGCUUGAGGUGGAAGAAAUCACAGCAGGUUCUUCCAUGCCCUGGACUAGACAAGCCAUCGUCAGGGCGUCUGACAAGACUGUGUCUGCCUGGAAGGAGCGGGCCCUGACCCAGCCUAUGGGCCUGUGUGUGUUGGCAAAGGUUCACAAAGAUGUUGGACUCUGGUCCUGCAUAUUGAAAACAUUUUUCAGUGGAGCCCAGGUAUUUGACUGGAAAAAUGAUAAUAUUCCCUCUCGGGAUGUCAAACAUCCGGAUAAAUAGAAGUCUUUUUCCAUCUUCCCUCUGGCCCGAGGGUUACAAAGGACUCAUAGACACAGGCCUUUGGAACUGGCUAGCUCAGCCAGCGCAAGUACCAACCUGUACCACAGAGAGUGACUAUUUUUAAAAAGAGAGGGAAGUAUGUCGCCCAGGUUUGCUCAGAGAGCCUGGCUCCCUCAGGAGAGGAUGCGGGGCCUGCCUACCUUUCAGAUGGAUGCCUCUGAGUGGUGUCAGGGCAGCCACUGUGACACUUAAGGCUCAUAUCGCCAAGUGCUGCAUAGCAGGAGGCUGGGGCCAGCCUGGAAGGGAGAAGUUAGCCCACCCAGGACUGGGGCUAUGAGAAGGUGGGGGCAGGAAUUGGGCAGAAGGUGCUGUAGGCAUUAACUGAAGAGCUGUUUUUAUUUUCAAUGAACUGGAACCCAAGGAUGCUCAAGCUACAGGGAGCCUGUUGGUUAAAUAAAGACUUAAUGCAGACAUGCCCUCCCA
rnacentral:lncRNA from 1 species